rnacentral:sRNA from 1 species
GUGAUGACACAGACCUGCAGAUCUUCUGUGUUUCCUGUGGGCACCCCAUCAACCCACGUGUUGCUUUGCGCCACAUGGAGCGCUGCUACGCCAAGGUUGGGGUGUCAGACUGAGGGGGCGGACCAUGUGGGAACAUCGGUGGGCCAGUGGGGGACAGAUUUGUUGUCUGGGUGGUGUCUUGGGAGGGCAUGCAGUGCACAUCCACAGUUCCCUCCAUUUGUGCUCAUCCCUCCAGUAUGAGAGCCAGACGUCCUUUGGGUCCAUGUACCCCACACGCAUUGAAGGGGCCACACGACUCUUCUGUGAUGUGUAUAAUCCUCAGAGCAAAACAUACUGUAAGCGGCUCCAGGUGCUGUGCCCCGAGCACUCACGGGACCCCAAAGUAAGGUUUUCCCUCAGCUCCUCCCAUUUUGCCCCUCCUCCCUGCCUCGCUGUCCCACAUUCAUCCCUUCCUUCCUCACCUCACCUUUCCUUCACUUUUUCCUCUCAGCUUCCCUGCUGCUUCACCCUCCAUUCCUCCUUUUCCAUGCCUCCCCACCGU